rnacentral:lncRNA from 1 species
GUAUGUAUGUAUGCAUUCUUUUUUAAACAACGUAUAUGGUUUAAUGUAUGUCAAAUUAUGUGUUUCAUUAUUUUAUAACAUAUAAUAUUAGGAUAAUUUUUAUACAUAUAAUAUUGCAUAGUUUUAUAACAUAAGACUUAUACAUAUAAUAUUAAUUUCGUUUUUCGUUUUUUUUAUACCUUUUUCGGGGUUUUGUUUUUUUUAUUUCACAGAUUUCUUCAUCAACAAAUGUUGUUAAAAUUUAACAAAAAUUCAUAAUUUGCUAAACCAUAAUACAAAAGGAAUGUUUGUUCACAUUUAGUCAUUGAACUUUUAUUAGAGGGAAACAAAAAUUCAAUUUUGUUCACAUUUAGUCACUAAACUUUUUUUCAUUAUGUAUUUGUCACUGAACUAUUAAAACUGUUCACAUUUUACCCUAUUACCGGUCAUAAGGGUAAAAUGUGAACAAUUUCAAUAGUUCAGUGGCAAAUAGAUAAUGAAAAAAAAAUAGUAACUAAAUGUGAACAAAAUCGAAAGUUUGUUACCCUUUCAAGUCAUUAUCCCAUCGUCAACACCACUCCACUCCUAGAAACCAUGGACCAUGUCCCGAGUGGUUGUCUAGAAAAACCAUUCGGCAUCAAAGUUGGCUUAAUUCUCCCCACUAGUGUAUUCCUUUUCUAAAUAAUUAGUUAUUAGUUCAUCUUUAAGUGUUUACACAAAUGACAUCCAUAAGUAUUCUUGCAUAUAAUUAUCAUCUUUUUAUAGCAUAUUACUUCCCAAAUUACUUCUGAUGUAAACAUGUAAACAAGUGAAUACAAGUUGAACAUUUUACAUCACAUAUAAGUUCAUGCAUAUAUCAUCAUUAUGGCAUGACAACAUCACUGGUAUGCUUUGUCCUAAUCAUCAUAGACAAGUAUUUCCAAGAAAGCAAGGCAUGUAUCCAUCACAUAUAAUCAUCACAAAACACUCUUUCUAUCAUGGCCCUAACACACCACGCACAUCAGAAGAUUAAGAAUCUAGCAUUUAACAUCAUAAGUUCUCAUAAAAAUAAAGUAACAUAGCAACCCAAAUACAUAUCACACAUAAUAGGGGUACAUGCCACUUAAAUAGCCUAUGUUCAUUCAAAUCCAUCUAAGAUAUGAAAUUCCCUAACAAUGUACUUUCAAAUCCAUCAUAAGUUCUCAUACAAAUAAAGGAACAUAGCAACCCAAAUACAUAUCACAUGUAAUAGGGGCACAUGCAACCUAAAUAGCCUAGGUUCAUUCAAAUCCAUCUAAGAUAUGGAAUUCCCUAACAUAGUACUUUGAAAUCCAUAAGAUUAACUCACGUUUGCUAAAAACGUGUCAUCUCUACUCUUCAACUCUUGUAGAAAUUGAGAUAUCAAGCCUUCCCCUAGUGAUACACAAAUAAAUAUAUUACUAGAAGUUUUACAUAAGCAAAUAAUAGCAUUUUACUACCCAAACACGCAAAUUAGUCUUUUGGCCAAAUUUUCAGAUUUUGACCUGAAAUAGUAACCUAUUCAAAGACACUUUAGUGCCACUUAAACCUGUAAAAAGUUCAACUUUAUUCCAUAUUCAGGUAUUUCAUAUUUUCAGCUUUAAAAGUACUACCCGCACAGGUCCAAUCGAUUUUUCUAUAAUUUUCUAUGAAUUUUACAAAACCGCAUAUCUGUGCAGCUGAUUUUCGACCAUUCAGUGAAAAUGAAGAUUUUCACCUUGGUUAGCAACAAUAUCAGGACCUGGGAAAAAUCAUGGAAUAACUAGACUCAAGAUGAAAACUUUGAGAAUUUACGGAUCAUUAAUCCAACUCCUGAUGAUUUUUCUAGAUUUUUUUCAAAACAGGUGCAGAAUGGGAAUUUUUCUGAAUUUCCCAGCUUUGAAUAUCUAGGACUUUUUGACCACUUAACCCAAUAAGUCAUAACCAAAAGCACCCACAAAGAUAAAAAUUGAGUUCUUAACAGUAGCAACUUGUCAAGAAACAUUAAUAGCAAUUCCAUCCUCAUACCAAGGUUCAAAUUAGUAAUUAAUAAGGACUCCAAAACAUGGAGUAAUACAUGAACAUGAACUAAAAAUUAUUGAGGGUGUUCAUAACCAAGUUUUGACAGCAAUUAGUCAUCAUAAACACCCAAUAGAAGUGAAAUUAUAUCAUUUGAACUUUAAAAGGUUUCUAGGAAUAAGAAGGUGAGAUAUGAACAUCAAUUUGGAAGAGAAUUGACAACAACAAUCUUCAAUUGACAAAGAGCUUGAUAUAUAACCACAACCAAAGAGAUUAGAAGAGAAUUUUACCAAUAUUGGCCAAAAAUCGCAGCCUAAGAUCACCACACAAAUCGAAUAUAGAAAUAUUUUCUUCCUCCCCCUUCACUUCUCGGUCACGUUUUCUUCCCACCCUCCAAGGCCGAUCGACUUUUUUUCCAUUCUCACUGAUGUCGUCACACACACGCAAGGAAUAAAAGAUCCCAAGCACCGAUCGAUUACACCAAGGGAUAAAUGGGAUUGUGGAAAAAAAA